UACGUAGGGGGCGAGCGUUGUUCGGAGUUACUGGGCGUAAAGGGUGUGUAGGCGGUUGUUUAAGUUUGGUGUGAAAUCUCCCGGCUCAACUGGGAGGGUGCGCCGAAUACUGAGCGACUAGAGUGCGGGAGAGGAAAGUGGAAUUCCUGGUGUAGCGGUGAAAUGCGUAGAUAUCAGGAGGAACACCGGUGGUGUAGACGGCUUUCUGGACCGUAACUGACGCUGAGACACGAAAGCGUGGGUAGCAAACAGG
rnacentral:rRNA from 1 species